GAACGCUGGCGGCAUGCUUCAGACAUGCAAGUCGAACGAGAUCUUCGGAUCUAGUGGCGCACGGGUGAGUAACGCGUGGGAACCUACCUUUUAGUACGGGAUAACAGUUGGAAACGACUGCUAAUACCAUAUACGCCCUCCGGGGGAAAGGUCAGCCGCUGAAAGAGGGGCCCACGUCUGAUUAGCUUGUUGGUAGGGUAAAAGCCUACCAAGGCUACGAUCAGUAGCUGGUCUGAGAGGAUGAUCAGCCACACUGGGACUGAGACACGGCCCAGACUCCUACGGGAGGCAGCAGUCGGGAAUAUUGGACAAUGGAGGAAACUCUGAUCCAGCAAUGCCGCGUGUGUGAUGAAGGCCCUAGGGUUGUAAAGCACUUUCAACGGUGAAGAUGAUGACGGUAGCCGUAGAAGAAGCCCCGGCUAA
rnacentral:rRNA from 1 species